rnacentral:lncRNA from 1 species
AAGCUUGAAAAUCAAUUAAAGGAGCAGCCUGAACAAAUGAAGAAACUGAUGGAUUGAGGACAAAUGUCCAUACCACGCCACUGAUAAAGAAUUGGAAAAAUGCAUUACAAGGUAGCUACAACUUGCCCCUGACAGGGAUGGAGGAAGAAAGAAGAGAAAGCUAAUGUGUCAAAUGUCUACAUCACUAUUUUGUUUUAUUUUUUAAACAACAUUUUAAGUGUAUUAGGAUGUUCCCUGAUACUUGAACAAUUUGUUUCUUUCAUUUGCAUUUAUAUAUAUAUAUAUGUAUAUGUAUAUAUAUAUAUAUAUAUAUAUAUAUGUGUGUGUGUGUAUAUAUGUAUGGUAUGUAUGUAUGUAUGUAUGUAUGUAUGUGUGUAUGUAUGUGUGUGCGCCAAAUUCUGAAGAAACAUCUUGAUACAUUUUUAAUAAAUGUAAUACAAAUAAAAUUAUAAAUAUAAAAUUGCACAAGACGUGUAUAUAUAUAUGAAAUGUAUAAUCAUCUCACUCAUGUCUUGCUGUUUGUGCAAUUGAUUUUGUUUAAGUUUAUUUAAAAAAAAAAGUUUGACUUUAUACUUCUGCAAUUAUAUAUAUAUAUAUAUAU